CCUACGGGGGGCAGCAGUGGGGAAUAUUGGGCAAUGGGCGCAAGCCUGACCCAGCAACGCCGCGUGAAGGAAGAAGGCUUUCGGGUUGUAAACUUCUUUUCUCAGGGACGAAGCAAGUGACGGUACCUGAGGAAUAAGCCACGGCUAACUACGCGCCAGCAGCCGCGGUAAUACGUAGGUGGCAAGCGUUAUCCGGAUUUACGGGGUGUAAAGGGCGUGUAGGCGGAGACGCAAGUCAGAUGUGAAAACCACGGGCUCAACCUGUGGCCUGCAUUUGAAACUGUUUUUCUUGAGUACUGGAGAGGCAGACGGAAUUCCUAGUGUAGCGGUGAAAUGCGUAGAGAUUAGGAGGAACACCAGUGGCGAAGGCGAUCUGCUGGACAGCAACUGACGCUGAGGCGCGAAAGCGUGGGGAGCAAACAGGAUUAGAUACCCGAGUAGUC
rnacentral:rRNA from 1 species